rnacentral:rRNA from 1 species
UACGUAGGGUGCGAGCGUUGUCCGGAAUUAUUGGGCGUAAAGAGCUCGUAGGCGGUCUGUCGCGUCGAUCGUGAAAACUUGGGGCUUAACCCUGAGCUUGCGGUCGAUACGGGCAUGACUGGAGUUCGGCAGGGGAGACUGGAAUUCCUGGUGUAGCGGUGAAAUGCGCAGAUAUCAGGAGGAACACCGGUGGCGAAGGCGGGUCUCUGGGACGUUACUGACGCUGAGACGCGAAAGCGUGGGGAGCAAACAGG